rnacentral:rRNA from 1 species
CCUACGGGUGGCAGCAGUGGGGAAUAUUGCACAAUGGGCGAAAGCCUGAUCCAGCAACGCCGCGUGAGGGAAGAAGGCCUUCGGGUCGUAAACUUCUGUCCUUGGGGAAGAACAACUGACGGUACCCAAGGAGGACGCCCCGGCUAACUACGUGCCAGCAGCCGAGGUAAUACGUAGGCGGCAAGCGUGAUCCGGAUUUAUUGGGCGUAAAGAGUACGUAGGGGGCAACCUAAGCGCAGGGUAUAAGGCAAUGGCUCAACCAUUGUUCGCCCUGCGAACUGGGAUGCUUGAGUGCAGGAGAGGAAAGCGGAAUUCCUAGUGUAGCGGUGAAAUGCGUAGAUAUUAGGAGGAACACCAGUGGCGAAGGCGGCUUUCUGGACUGUAACUGACGCUGAGGUACGAAAGCGUGGGGAGCAAACAGGAUUAGAUACCCGGGUAGUC